AUAUAAUAGGAUAAUUUAUUUUAUGAACAGGUAUUUUACAACUUUGCAUGAAAUCUACAAUAAUUGUUGAUAAAACAUACCGUAGUAUACAAUAAAGCACCACAUUCACCUAAAAUAUCUCUUUCUAUCAACCAUUCGUCAUCUGUCUAGUUUAUAAACUAUACAACAGAAACAUCCUUACCAAAUACUCUAAAAUAUAUUACAAUUCUGCACAUAUUUAGGUGUACAUUAUACACAUAGAAUUUUUGACAUGUAUUUACAUGUAACAAAUGUGUGCCUGGUUAUCAAGUCAACAACAAAGGGGUGAAAAAUAUUUCUAUAUGAUUUUAUUACAAAUGAUAAAUUUCUAAAUAAUUGAGUAGAAUGAUAUAUAAAGAACAGGAACUGAUUUGUUUAUGAAAAAUAAAUUAAAUUAGAAGACACAAUGAAACUUUACUCCAUUUCAUCUAGCAGAUUAACCACCUCCUUUGAGAAAUUAGGAUCGAUUUAUUUCAUGGUGACAAAAAACAUCCACUUAAACUUGAAUUUAUACUGUUAAUGCAAGUUUAAAAUGAGCUUGAAGGUAAUUUGGUGGGUACUAAUUUUCAAGGAUUGAAGAGAAGGUUUUUUUUGUGGAUAUUUUGACUUUGUGGCUUGUAAAAGUCUGCAUACAAGCCAAUAGAAAACAUGUACUUUUCAUUUCGAGUUUACUUAUACCCAAGAUUUCCAUGAAAAUUGAUAUCUAGUUAAAACUAGAGGCUCUAAAGAGCCUGUGUCGCUCACCUUGGUCUAUGUGAAUAUUAAACAAAGGAAGCAGAUUGAAA
rnacentral:lncRNA from 1 species